rnacentral:tRNA from 1 species
CCUUGCUGGAGUACGGUUUGCCUUCGUUGCCGUUGCUGUCGGCGAAAUUGAUCCGGCGCAAUUGCACCGGGUCGAUACCACUGGCAACGGCCA